rnacentral:lncRNA from 1 species
GCGAUUCUCAUGCCUUAGCCUCCUGAGCAGCUGUGACUACAGGUGCAUGCCACCUCACCCAGCUAAUUUUUGUACUUUUAGUAGAGAUGGGAUUUCGCCAUGUUGGCCAGGCUGGUCUCUAACUCCUGGCCUCAAGUGAUCGGCCAACCUUGGCCUCCCAAAGUACUGGGAUUACAGGCGUGAGCCACCACACCCUGCCACACUGGGAGCUUUUAAAAUCCCCAAUGCCUGCCCACACCUCAGAUCAAUUGCAUGAGAAUGUCCAGGGAAGGAGCCCAGGAAUCUGCAUUUUCUUAAAUUCCUGCAGCUGGUUCCAAUAUGCAGUGAAGAUUGAGAACCAGUGAGCUAGGGCUGCUAAGACCAGUGGUUCUCAAGGUAGAUAGCCCAGACCAGCAGCAUCAGCAUCACCUGGGAACUUGUCAGAAAUGUAGAUUCCUGGGUCCAACCCAGACCUGUUGAAUCAAACACUCCUGGAGUGUACCCAGCCAUCUGUGUUGUCACAAGCUCUCCAAGAGAUCCUGAUGCUUGCACAAGUUUAGAGGCUGCUGAGCUGGACAUUGGCAGGGUAGGAAAUAUGUAUUCAUCCUCCCAGUCAUUCCUUCACUCCACCAACUGCUCAUGCUUUCAGCAUACAGUAUCCCUACUACAAGCCAAGCACUGUGCCAGAUAUUGGGAAUCCAUUAAUAGGGCAGAGGUGGUGAAUUUUGCAUUCAAAGAGCUUGCAGUCCCCAUAUGGAAUUUUCCAUAUAAUAGAACCAAAGAUAGUCAUCAAAGUAGGAAGGGAUUUGAGCUGAGCCUUCCAAUAACUGCCUCAGUUUCUCUCUUUUUUCUGCCUGUGUGCAUCCAGUGUGAGCAGCUCACAUCACUGCAAAGGAAUCCGUGUGUGUACUGUCUCACUCACCCAACAUUCAUUUAGCAGACGCUUCAUUAAGCAUCUACACAGUUCCAGGUUCUGUGAUAGAAGCUAGAGAUUGAGGAAGGCUCAAGUCUCCCAAAUGACAAACUCCAGAGGUAAGCAGAACAGGUGAGAAUAAAAGAGGGUUCAGAGCAGACUGUUCCUGUUGGAAGCUCACCCCAUGACAGAUGGCAGCAUGGGUCUUCCCAGUCUGGCCAGACCGGAAUACUAGCCAGUUUCCUUCUCAUGUGUAGAAGCAGAAAAUUGUAGCAAUCAAAACUAUGGACUCUGUCCCCAACAGUCUGGGUUUAUACUUGGCUCUGAGGCUUACUAGCUGGAUGGCCUUCAGCAAGUUAUCUUAUUUCUUCAUGCCUCACUUACUUGAUCUAUAAAUUGGGAAUAUAAACAGCACCAGCCUCACUGCAUUGUUGCAAGAAUUAAAUGAGAAUUGGAAAGCUUAGAACAGUGUCUGGCAUGUAAGAAUUAUUAGUUGUACUAAUCACAAACAUUACUUUUGAAAAAGUUGCUUGAAAAUAAAAUUCAUUUUAAAAACAGAUUGCUUUUCAUGUGUACUGGAGAUCUUGCUUCUUCAAUGAUUACUGUAGGGGAUCCAUUUUAUAAAAGGAAUAACUUGAGUAACCAUAUGUUGAAUUUGCUUAAAAUGAAGUAAACAUGUCACCUGCUUCUGAGAGUGGCAGAAAGGGAGCUUUGCUAGGAAGUGUGGCAGGAUUAUUAUGAAACUCUCAUCUCAGAUGGAUCUGGAAAUCCCUUGAAGUCCCUGAUUUUGCAUCCAUGCUGGUCUGUCUUCUCUUCUUCCUUUCCCCUGAUAGUUCUUUCAACACUGAGAAAUAAGAAGAUGUUUUAACUGAGAGCUAGUAAGGGACAACACAUCCUUCAUUCUUAAUAUGUCAGGAUGGGAAAUAUUAAGAACUUCUAUGAAUCCACAAGCCACCCUUGCUCUGAAAAUGGCUUCCCUAUAUAUUUGUCUCCACUUCCUGUCUCACAGGAAGUGGCCACCUCCCGUCUUUGUGGCAUCAUAGCCAAGGUGCUUUGCCUAAAAUCACUCAUCUCUUCAAAGUCCCUGGCAUGAGCUACCCAUCACUGUCUUAUGCUCAGUGACCCAGGACCACCUAUGAGCAUCUGGGCCCAAGAGAUGAUCUCAAACUUUUCACAAUUAUUUCAGGUAUCAACAAGAUGGAAAUAAAGCCAAAAGCUGUGCUGAGAUUCAACCAUCAACAUCCCAAAAGGAAUAUUCUGUUUCCCAGCAUUUCUUGCCAAGGAUGAUCUCAGAUUCGUCUGUUUCCAUUCACUAGUGGACAAGAGAGAGAGAAGACAGCCAGUUACGAUAUUCCCAGAUGGCUAGGACACAGACCAUUCUUCCAGAUCUGGAAAUGCUAACAAUGUUUCAUUACCACAGCCCUGACCAGCUUGAAGCAACCUUCCUCAUACCCAAAUCAAAUACCUGUGUGGAGAGACUAAAUCUGUCUAAAGGCGACACAACCCACCCCGACUCAUGUGUUCAUGCAUGCACUCAAUAGGAAAACAGGGCCAGGUGUGGUGGCUCACGCCUGUAAUCCUAGCAUUUUG